rnacentral:rRNA from 1 species
CGUGCCAGCAGCCGCGGUAAUACGAAGGGUGCAAGCGUUACUCGGAAUUACUGGGCGUAAAGCGUGCGUAGGUGGUCGUUUAAGUCCGUUGUGAAAGCCCUGGGCUCAACCUGGGAACUGCAGUGGAUACUGGGCGACUAGAGUGUGGUAGAGGGUAGCGGAAUCCCUGGUGUAGCAGUGAAAUGCGUAGAGAUCAGGAGGAACAUCCAUGGCGAAGGCAGCUACCUGGACCAACACUGACACUGAGGCACGAAAGCGUGGGGAGCAAACAGGAUUAGAUACCCUGGUAGUCCACGCCCUAAACGAUGCGAACUGGAUGUUGGGUGCAAUUUGGCACGCAGUAUCGAAGCUAACGCGUUAAGUUCGCCGCCUGGGGAGUACGGUCGCAAGACUGAAACUCAAAGGAAUUGACGGGGGCCCGCACAAGCGGUGGAGUAUGUGGUUUAAUUCGAUGCAACGCGAAGAACCUUACCUGGCCUUGACAUGUCGAGAACUUUCCAGGAUGGAUUGGUGCCUUCGGGAACUCGAACACAGGUGCUGCAUGGCUGUCGUCAGCUCGUGUC